AGUAGUUGACGUCGUGCUGAGACACGCUGGCGGCGUGCUUAACACAUGCAAGUCGAACGGAAAGGCCCUGCUUGCAGGGUACUCGAGUGGCGAACGGGUGAGUAACACGUGGGUGAUCUGCCCUGCACUUCGGGAUAAGCUUGGGAAACUGGGUCUAAUACCGGAUAGGAACCAUCUUUAGUGUGGUGGUUGGAAAGUUUUUUCGGUGUAGGAUGAGCUCGCGGCCUAUCAGCUUGUUGGUGGGGUAAUGGCCUACCAAGGCGGCGACGGGUAGCCGGCCUGAGAGGGUGUACGGCCACAUUGGGACUGAGAUACGGCCCAGACUCCUACGGGAGGCAGCAGUGGGGAAUAUUGCACAAUGGGCGCAAGCCUGAUGCAGCGACGCCGCGUGGGGGAUGAAGGCCCUCGGGUUGUAAACUCCUUUCGCUAGGGACGAAGCUUUUGUGACGGUACCUAGAUAAGAAGCACCGGCUAACUACGUG
rnacentral:rRNA from 1 species